UUAGAAAUUUUAAAACAACAGUUAAGAUCAUAGACUUCAGUAUAUAUAGCAUUUACGGAAAAACUCAAUAUUUUCGUAGGGGUUAACACAUAGAUUUUGAGAAAAAUUCAAAAAUAUGAAAAAUAUUUUUUUAAUGCAUAGUUGAAUCUUGCACUAACUUAUGAUGAAGGUGAAAGAAGUUUAGAACCUUUGUUGUCUCUGUUUCUCUUGAGAAUAGCGAUUUUAUAGUGGUUAGUCUACCAAUUUGGAGAUUAUUCUGAGGUUUUACUAAAUUAAUUGAUAAAAAAUUAAAAUGAUGCUUCUCUAUCAUGAAAAAUAGUUUAAUAUACAUUAAUACAAAUGUAGAAUAUGUUUAGAAAUUUUAAAACAACUCUAAAGGUCAUAUGCUUCAGUAUAUAGAGCAUUUACCAAAAAAUCAAUAUUUGCAUAGAGGUACACGUAGAUUUUAAGAAAACACAAAAAAUGACAAUAUUGAUUUAAUGCAUAAUUGCAUCCUGCACAAACAUAUGAUGAAGGUCAAAGAGGUUUAGAACCUUUUUUGUCUCAGUUUCUCCUGAAAAUAGUGGUUUUAUAGUGGUUUUUUUUUGUCAAAAGAUUUUAUAGUGGUUAGUACACCAAUUUAGAAAAUAUUAUAAAAUUUUACUAAAUUAAGUGAUAAGAAAUUAAAAUGAUGUAUAUGUACCAUGAAAGAGAGUUUAAUAUACAUUAAUACAAAUUUAGAAUAUGUUUAGAAAUUUUAAAACAACACUAAAGAUCAUAGGCUUUAGUAUAUAUAAAGCAUUUACCCAAAAAACUCAAUAGUUUCGUAGGGAGUUAUAACACAUAGAUUGAGAAAAAAUCAAAAAUGUGAUAAUAUUUUUUUAAUGCAUAGUUGAAUCUUGCACUAACAUAUGAUGAAUGUCAAAGAGGUUUGGAACCUUUGUUGUCUUCGUUUAUCUAGAAAAUAACGAUUUUAUAGUGGUUAAUCUACCAAUUUAUGGAGUAUAUGAAGUUUUACUAAAUUAGUUGAAAAAAUUAAAAUGAUGUCCAUGUACCAUAAAAGAGAGUUUAAUAUAGAUUAAUACAAAUGUAUAAUAUUUUUAGAAAUUUUAAACAACACUAAAAAUCUUAGGCUUCAGUGUAUAGAACAUUUACUGAAAAACUCAAUAUUUUCGUAGGGGUUAUUAACACAAAGAUUUUGUGAAAAUUUCAAAAAUAUGACAAUGUUAUUUUAAU